UGGGGAAUUUUGGACAAUGGGGGAAACCCUGAUCCAGCAACGCCGUGUGAGUGAUGAAGGUCUUCGGAUUGUAAAGCUCUGUUAGCCGGGAAAAAACUCGUGAGCAUCAGAUCCUCACGAUUGAUGGUACCGGCAGAGGAAGCACCGGCUAACUCUGUGCCAGCAGCCGCGGUAAUACAGAGGGUGCAAGCGUUAUUCGGAAUCAUUGGGCGUAAAGGGCGUGUAGGCGGUAUGUUAAGUCAUGUGUGAAAUCCCUCGGCUCAACCGGGGAACGACGCAUGAAACUGGCAAGCUAGAGUACCAAAGAGGGUGGUGGAAUUCCCGGUGUAGCGGUGAAAUGCGUAGAUAUGCGGAGGAACACCGAUGGCGAAGGCAAUCCCCUGGACCUGUACUGACGCUCAUGCACGAAAGCGUGGGGAGCAAACAGGAUUAGAUACCCAAGUAGUCCCUGAGCGGGCUGGCAAGGCGCAU
rnacentral:rRNA from 1 species